CGGGGUGAAUCCGUCUGAGCAGAGCAGAGUGCUUCAUGCUGCCCGAGUCGGGAGAUCAAUAUUUACAGACACUCCUCUUCUUUAGACGGCAUUCAUGUCACAACGAACAAACAGUCAUCCGUGUAGCGAUUUCAGCCUCCAUGUGUUGCCAUGUCAAUCUCAUCUACCCAGGGCCUUCAGAAUGAAUGGUGCUGGCUGACGUAACUUUAGCUAGAUAAGCAAGGAGAUUGUCUUUAACCAAUCAUAUUAAAUAUACUGGUAUCAGACAUGAGGCCAUCAGCAUUUGACAGUUUAGGCUUUGUAGUUUUUGUAAUCAUAGAAUUCCCUUGUCAAUUGCCAUUGGAGCAGCCCUGCAAAAUUGCUGCCCAGCAAGACGUUUUUCUGCCCCCGACUGCAGGUCAGCGCCAAUUUGAGAAGUUCUAUUGCUGUCACACUGCUCUAACGCGGUGUACAAUUUACGCUAUCCUUGGCAAGUUUCAGGUUGUUCUAAGGCUUCAAGCAGACGAUUAUGAUGCUCACCAAGCUGAAGUCGGUACAUGUGAAUCGUUGUCACUUUCCGAAACAUCUGCUGAAUUGAGCUUUUGUUGAUGCUCAAUUCCAACGCAGCCCAUCGGAUAGCAUUUCCAUGGCUCUGCGCGAACGCCUGCUCUAGAAGUUCGUUUGGUGUUUUCAUCAGUGGUGGUCGUAGCAGGCCUUCGACAAAGUCCCCACUGAAGACCCGGGUACCAAAUUCACCGCCCGCCACUGCCGAAAUGAAUGCAUGAAUCCCUGUAGUUGAUGGAGAACAAGCAUGAGAAGUUUUCUCUACGCAUUCAUUUGACAUAAGAGGUGCAGAAUUUAAGUGCACGGAAGACAUGAAACAAGACUUUUUCAAUCAAUAUCCUACCCAGAAGUCCCUCUGUCUCCAGCCUCUUGAUGUGUGUGUGGUCAAAAUGAGCAAAGCCCGCCUCUAAACAGAGGGUUGAGUGAGGUAACUGGAGCCAGUGUGAAUGGACUCAUUGUUGCUUUGCCUUAAUAAGGCGUGACAAGUGAGGCGUGAAUAGAUUCCCAUCAUUAGGCUCCCUAAAAAUGCCCAUUAGAAUCAAUGGGCCACACUCCGGUCAGACUUUCUGUCUACCAGCCAGCGUGCCUCCUAUCCCUCCACCCACUCCCCUCCCGCCCCCCACCCCUUUAACAUGCAGGACACUGGAUACAGUUACAGACACCCAGCCGAGGUGAACUCAAACAAGGCAACUCUAUAGCCGCAGCCCUAACACCCGCUGUAAUGCAGUUGACGCCACAGAUGAGGGAAAAGGGCACCACGAUGAGAGAGGUGGGGGACCUCUAUCAUGAGUGCUUGUUGGAGGUAACGUGAAUAGAACUCCUGAUGUUUACAAGAAAGUGUGUGCGUGUCCACAAGUGUAAGUGUGUAGCAGACAACGGAUCCAGGCAGCCAGCGUGGCUGAUAAACUGCAGGGAUUAGCAGCCACUUCUGGAGCCCAAGUGGCCCUAUCAAUACAGGACCGGGCCCAUUGAUCUGUUGUCUGGACGGGUGCUGGCGCUAAUUCCUGGACCUUGGCUCUGAGUGCUGCUGGCUGGGGAGCUCGGAGGCGGGGGUGAGACUGACUGGCUACUAGUGGCGCCAUCCGCAGACCCUACUGGAUUUGAGGGCUCAGCGUUUACCAUAGACUGGCUCAAAAUAGCAGCCUGACCACAGCAUGGCUAAUCAUUAGAUGGACUGAGCGACAUGCUAAUGGUAAUUUGAAAACACAGAUCAUCACAGCUUUCUUUUCAUUCUUCGUUUUUUCUUUUAAAUCAGGCUCAUGUGAUAAACAAACACUUUGGUUAAAAAGCCCCUUCUACUUUGUAAUUACAACCAAUUAUGUCAAUCUGCGGACUACUUCACAUACUCCACAUUAUGACCCUUAAAUGACAUGUUCCAUGCAAAGUCUGCUAUGGGAAUUACAGAGUGUUGACAAAUGGAGUUUAUCUGGAAUAGAGUAGUCCACGUUAACACCUCCUGACUGGCCGUCCCCAUGGAAGAUAUGGAGGGCGGAAGAAGAAUUAAAAGCCUAGGCGUCGUAAGUGUGGGGAUUUAGCGGGGUUGACAUGCUACCGUAAAGAGCCAAACAAAGAAGAACUAGAAUAGUACUCGGUGGAGCGCGGACCUCCACCAAAGCUGAACUCUUAACACAACUGUGGGAAAAGAAAUUGUAGAGUAGGGUAUUGCUAGCAACCAGUGCGCAUCUUGUCUAGAGAAACAACAAACCCAACUUGAAGACGCAAAUCUUGAUGUCUGGUGCAGGGGUUCCUCGGUUUAUGACGUUCCAAUGACGGGUUCCAAUCCCACGACUGCGAUGUCACCCGAGUUUGUACGUACAGUAAAUCGGAACGGUGCCUAACCUGGCCUAAACGCUACCAGAAACACUGACCUCCAUUUACAACCAUUUGUUCCAAGCAAAUGUAUUAAUUUAUUCCCAACAAUCUAUUCUCUAGCAUUUCUCUUGCAUACACUGCUUCCAGUACGUGUAUUUUUUUAUAUAUAUAUUCUUUGGCCAAUCAGAUUUUAGCUUCUAUGUGCUGCCAUCUAAGGCCAAUCCAGAACUUUCAGUAUCGGUAGUACAGGCCGAUGUAACUUAAACUAUAUUAGAAGUAGGACUGCUUCUUUAACCAAUCAGAUUUCGGAUAAGCGCUAUAAAAAGAAGGAUGGAUAGAUGGAUGGACUCUACAAUUUGCAAUCAGUGACUUCAGAAAAUUGGCCGCAUCAUUAUUCGGAUUUACACCAACAUUCCAUUGGUUCUUUCAUGGAAACCACAGAUUGCCAUCAAAACAAUAUCUUCCUUUGGAAAGGGAGAAGAACAAGUCCGUAUUCAUUGGAAUGAAGCCACGAGGUAAUACACUAAGCAAUUCCUGUUUGUGAUAUCAUGACUGAAAUUGAGUAACUGUCUGAAUAAAGAGC